UACGGAGGGUGCAAGCGUUAUCCGGAUUCACUGGGUUUAAAGGGUGCGUAGGCGGACUGGUAAGUCCGUGGUGAAAUCCCCGAGCUUAACUUGGGAACUGCCAUGGAUACUAUUAGUCUUGAAUGUCGUGGAGGUUUGCGGAAUAUGUCAUGUAGCGGUGAAAUGCUUAGAUAUGACAUAGAACACCAAUUGCGAAGGCAGCAGGCUACACGAUUAUUGACGCUGAGGCACGACAGCGUGGGGAUCAAACAGG
rnacentral:rRNA from 1 species